rnacentral:rRNA from 1 species
AGUGAACGCUGGCGGUAGGCCUAACACAUGCAAGUCGAACGGCAGCACAGUAAGAGCUUGCUCUUACGGGUGGCGAGUGGCGGACGGGUGAGGAAUACAUCGGAAUCUACUUUUUCGUGGGGGAUAACGUAGGGAAACUUACGCUAAUACCGCAUACGACCUACGGGUGAAAGCAGGGGAUCUUCGGACCUUGCGCGAUUGAAUGAGCCGAUGUCGGAUUAGCUAGUUGGCGGGGUAAAGGCCCACCAAGGCGACGAUCCGUAGCUGGUCUGAGAGGAUGAUCAGCCACACUGGAACUGAGACACGGUCCAGACUCCUACGGGAAGCAGCAGUGGGGAAUAUUGGACAAUGGGCGCAAGCCUGAUCCAGCCAUACCGCGUGGGUGAAGAAGGCCUUCGGGUUGUAAAGCCCUUUUGUUGGGAAAGAAAAGCAGCAGGUUAAUACCCCGCCGUUCUGACGGUACCCAAAGAAUAAGCACCGGCUAACUUCGUG